GGGAAUAUUGGACAAUGGGGGCAACCCUGAUCCAGCCAUGCCGCGUGAGUGAAGAAGGCCCUCGGGUUGUAAAGCUCUUUUGUCCGGAAAGAAAAGCAUUCGGUGAAUACCCGGAUGUUCUGACGGUACCGGAAGAAUAAGCACCGGCUAACUUCGUGCCAGCAGCCGCGGUAAUACGAAGGGUGCAAGCGUUACUCGGAAUUACUGGGCGUAAAGCGUGCGUAGGUGGUUGUUUAAGUCUGAUGUGAAAGCCCUGGGCUCAACCUGGGAAUGGCAUUGGAAACUGGGCAGCUAGAGUGCGGUAGAGGGUAGUGGAAUUCCCGGUGUAGCAGUGAAAUGCGUAGAGAUCGGGAGGAACAUCUGUGGCGAAGGCGACUGCCUGGACCAGCACUGACACUGAGGCACGAAAGCGUGGGGAGCAAACA
rnacentral:rRNA from 1 species